GAUGAACGCUGGCUACAGGCUUAACACAUGCAAGUCGAGGGGAAACGGCAUUGAGUGCUCGCACUGAAUGGACGUCGACCGGCGCACGGGUGAGUAACGCGUAUCCAACCUUCCCGUUACUGCGGGAUAACCUGCCGAAAGGCAGACUAAUACCGCAUGUUCUUCGAUGACGGCAUCAGAUUCGAAGCAAAGAUCCGUCGGUAACGGAGGGGGAUGCGUCUGAUUAGCUAGUUGGCGGGGCGACGGCCCACCAAGGCGACGAUCAGUAGGGGUUCUGAGAGGAAGGUCCCCCACAUUGGAACUGAGACACGGUCCAAACUCCUACGGGAGGCAGCAGUGAGGAAUAUUGGUCAAUGGGCGGAAGCCUGAACCAGCCAAGUAGCGUGCAGGAUGACGGCCCUACGGGUUGUAAACUGCUUUUAUGCGGGGAUAAAGUGAGGGACGCGUCCCUUUUUGCAGGUACCGCAUGAAUAAGGACCGGCUAAUUCCGUG
rnacentral:rRNA from 1 species